rnacentral:rRNA from 1 species
AUAAGGGAGAGUUUUAUCCAGGCUCAGGCUGAAUGCUGGCGGCGUGCCUAAUACAUGCAAGUCGAGCGGUAACAGGGGG